CCUACGGGAGGCUGCAGUGAGGAAUAUUGGUCAAUGGACGAGAGUCUGAACCAGCCAAGCAGCGUGAAGGAUGACUGCUCUAGGGGUGGUAACCUUUUUUUAGAUGGGAAUAAAAUGUUCCACGUGUGGGAUUUUGUAUGUACCAUAUGAAUAAGGAACGGCUAACUCCGUGCCAGCAGCCGCGGUAAUACGGAGGAUCCGAGCGUUAUCCGGAUUGAGUGGGUUUAAAGGGAGCGUAGGUGGAUUGUUAAGUCAGUUGUGAAAGUUUGCGGCUUAACCGUAAAAUUGCAGUUGAAACUGGCAGUCUUGAGUACAGGAGAGGUGAGCGGAAUUCGUGGUGUAGCGGUGAAAUGCUUAGAUAUCCCGAAGAACUCCGAUUGCGAAGGCAGCUCACUGGACUGCAACUGACACUGAGGCUCGAAAGUGUGGGUAUCAAACAGGAUUAGAUACCCUAGUAGUC
rnacentral:rRNA from 1 species